GACGAACGCUGGCGGCGUGCUUAACACAUGCAAGUCGAACGGUAAGGCUCCAGCUUGCUGGGGUACACGAGUGGCGAACGGGUGAGUAACACGUGGGUGACCUGCCCUGCACUUCGGGAUAAGCCUGGGAAACUGGGUCUAAUACCGGAUAGGACCGCACCGUGAGGGUGUGGUGGAAAGUUUUUUCGGUGUGGGAUGGGCCCGCGGCCUAUCAGCUUGUUGGUGGGGUAAUGGCCUACCAAGGCGGCGACGGGUAGCCGGCCUGAGAGGGUGGACGGCCACAUGGGGACGGAGACACGGCCCAGACCCCUACGGGGGGGAGAGGGGGGGAAUAUUGCACAAGGGGGGGAAGCCGGAUGCGGCGACCCCGGGGGGGGGAUGGCGGCCUUCGGGUUGUAAACUCCUUUCCCCAUCGACGAAGGGUUUCGGCCGGGAGAUGGAGAAGAAGCACCGGCUAACUACGU
rnacentral:rRNA from 1 species